rnacentral:snoRNA from 1 species
GGCCUCCUGGUGCUUACCACAGUCUGUGUUCUUUACACUGACUGUAUAGAAAGAGGAGGCAAAGUAAACCUAUCCCAUAUACACCUCAGCCCAGGCCCUGUGCCUGAUCUGUAUUGUGAAUGGGAAGACAUAG